rnacentral:rRNA from 1 species
UACGUAGGUGGCAAGCGUUGUCCGGAAUUAUUGGGCGUAAAGCGCGCGCAGGCGGCCUCUUAAGUCUGAUGUGAAAGCCCCCGGCUCAACCGGGGAGGGCCAUUGGAAACUGGGAGGCUUGAGUAUAGGAGAGAAGAGUGGAAUUCCACGUGUAGCGGUGAAAUGCGUAGAGAUGUGGAGGAACACCAGUGGCGAAGGCGACUCUUUGGCCUAUAACUGACGCUGACGGCGCGAAAAGCGUGGGGAGCAAACAGG